CAGCCGCCACGGUAAUACGAAGGUCCCAAGCGUUGUUCGGAAUCACUGGGCGUAAAGGGAGCGUAGGCGGCGUGGUAAGUCAGAUGUGAAAUCCCGGGGCUCAACCCCGGAACUGCAUCCGAUACUGCCAUGCUUGAGGGUUGGAGAGGUAGCUGGAAUUCUUGGUGUAGCAGUGAAAUGCGUGGAUAUCAAGAGGAACACUCGUGGCGAAGGCGAGCUACUUGACAACAUCUGACGCUGAGGCUCGAAGGCCAGGGUAGCGAAAGGGAUUAGAUACCCCCGUAGUCCCUGUCUCUUAUAC
rnacentral:rRNA from 1 species